UGUCCAGGCAGGACUCUCACAUGAAGCC
rnacentral:piRNA from 1 species